CAGGGAGACAACAAAAUGUUUAAUAUUAUUAUUUUGUCACCUUAGGUCGAUCGGUAUCUCACGUUUUUAAUUUAUUAAGAAUUUCAUUUCCUAAGUUUUUCUAGGUCACACCCAUUAUUUUUCCUGGGCCAUUAGCUCAGGUGGUUAGAGCGCACCCCUGAUAAGGGUGAGGUCCCUGGUUCAAGUCCAGGAUGGCCCAUAUCUCUAUGUUGGGGGUAUAGCUCAGUUGGUAGAGCGCCUGCUUUGCAAGCAGGAUGUCAGCGGUUCGAGUCCGCUUACCUCCACUGAUUACCACCUCUUCCAUAACCGGUAGUAAGGAAAUGUUUUGAGUUGUGAUCAAAUCCUGAAAGAAUCUAGCUUCCUAAUGAAAUCAUUAAGAUGCUGGACUCAUUGUAUUAACUUCAUUGUUUUCAGAGAACCUUGACAACUGCAUAGAUUAUUUUUAAAGACAAUAAGCAUCUUUAAUGAUGCAGAUUUAUUAUUUGUGCGAAUGCGUUAAUAACAAUUCUAUUAAGCUGAUGCUUCAAUUUUUGAAGUUAUU
rnacentral:tRNA from 1 species